rnacentral:rRNA from 1 species
UACAUAGGGUGCGAGCGUUAAUCGGAAUUACUGGGCGUAAAGCGUGCGCAGGCGGUUAUUUAAGACAGAUGUGAAAUCCCCGGGCUCAACCUGGGAACUGCGUUUGUGACUGGAUAGCUAGAGUAUGGCAGAGGGGGGUGGAAUUCCACGUGUAGCGGUGAAAUGCGUAGAUAUGUGGAGGAACACCAGUGGCGAAGGCGGCUUCCUGGACUAAAACUGACACUGAGGCCCGUAAGCGUGGGUAGCAAGCAGG